rnacentral:ncRNA from 1 species
AGAUUUAAAAGGCAAAUUCAUUGAAAAAUGAAGACGCAAAGCUAUAGGGGCUAACAUCAUAGGAUUAUGCCAGCCAGUUAUUGAA